AUGCAGUCGAACGGUCUCACCGAUGCUUCUUGCUGCUUCGCUGACGAGGGGCGGAAGGUUGAGUAAUGUCUGGGAAACUGCCUGAGGGAGGGGGAUGACUACUGUGAACGGAAGCUAAUACCGCCUACUGUCACCAGAUGCUAGAGGGGGACCUUCGGGCCUCUUGCCAUCGGAUGUGCCCAGAUGGGAUUAGCUAGUAGGUCUGGUAACGGCUCACCUAGGCGACGAUCCCUAGCUGGUCUGAGAGGAUGACCAGCCACACUGGAACUGAGACCCGAUCCAGACUCCUACCGGAGGCAGACUGGGGGAAUAUUGCAACUUGGGCGCAAGCCUGAUGCAGCCAUGCCGCGUGUAUGAGACAAGGCCUUCAGGUUGUAAAGCACUGUCAGCGAAGAGGAAGGCCAACGUCGAUAAGAGUAAUCAGCUUAGUCGAGUGACGAUACCCGCAAAAAAAGCACCGGCCUAACUCCGUGCCAGCAGCCGCGGUAAUACGGAGGGUGCAAGCGUAUAAUCGGAAUUACUGGGCGUAAAGCGACACGCAGGCGGUCUGUCAAGUCUGGAUGUGAAAUCCUCUCGGGCUCAACCGUGGGAACUGCAUUCGAAACUGGCUUAGAGCUAGAGUCUUGAUAGAGGACAGGUAGAAUUCCAGAGUGUAGAGGUGGAAAUGCGUACAGAUCUGGAGGAAUACCGGUGGCGAAAUGCGGCCCCCUGGACAAAGACUGACGCUCACGUGCGAAAGCGUGGGGAGCAAACAGGAUUAUGAUACCUCUGGUAGUCCACGCCGUAAACGAUGUCAACUAGGAGGUUGUGCCCUUGAGGCACGAUGGACUACGGAGCUAACGCCAUAAGUCGACGCCCCUGGGGAGCUACAGCCGCAACGUUAAAACACACAAAAAAUUGACGGACGGACCCCCACAAGUCGAGGGUAGCAUGGAGUUGUAAUGUCGAUGCGAACGAGAAGAACCAUUACCUACUUUUGACAUCCAUAGAACUUUCCAGAGAUGUAUUGGUUCCUUUGGGAACUAUGAGACAGGUGCUGCAAGGCUGUUGUCAGCUUGUGUUGUGAAAUUUUGGGUUAAGUCCCGCAACGAGCCCAACCCUUAUCUUUUGUUGCCAGCGGUUAGGCCGGGCACUCAAAGGAGACUGCCAGUGACAAACCGGAGGAAGGUGGGGAUGACGUCAAGUCAUCAUGGCCCUUACGACUAGGGCUACACACGUGCUACAAUGGCGCAUACAAAGAGAAGCGACCUCGCGAGAGCAAGCUGAUCUCAUAAACCCGUCGUAGUCCGGAUUGGAGUCUGCAACUCGACUCCAAUGAAGU
rnacentral:rRNA from 1 species